AACGCUGGCGGAAUGCUUUACACAUGCAAGUCGAACGGCAGCACGGACUUCGGUCUGGUGGCGAGUGGCGAACGGGUGAGUAAUAUAUCGGAACGUGCCCAGUCGUGGGGGAUAACGUAGUGAAAAUUACGCUAAUACCGCAUACGAUCUACGGAUGAAAGCGGGGGACUCGCAAGAGCCUCGCGCGAUUGGAGCGGCCGAUAUCAGAUUAGGUAGUUGGUGAGGUAAAGGCUCACCAAGCCCGCGAUCUGUAGCUGGUCUGAGAGGACGACCAGCCACACUGGAACUGAGACACGGUCCAGACUCCUACGGGAGGCAGCAGUGGGGAAUUUUGGACAAUGGACGCAAGUCUGAUCCAGCCAUUCCGCGUGCAGGAUGAAGGCCCUCGGGUUGUAAACUGCUUUUGUACGGAACGAAAAGGUCUCUCCUAAUACGAGGGGCUCAUGACGGUACCGUAAGAAUAAGCACCGGCUAACUACGUGCCAGCAGCCGCGGUAAUACGUAGGGUGCAAGCGUUAAUCGGAAUUACUGGGCGUAAAGCGUGCGCAGGCGGUUAUAUAAGACAGAUGUGAAAUCCCCGGGCUCAACCUGGGAACUGCAUUUGUGACUGUAUAGCUAGAGUACGGUAGAGGGGGAUGGAAUUCCGCGUGUAGCAGUGAAAUGCGUAGAUAUGCGGAGGAACACCGAUGGCGAAGGCAAUCCCCUGGACCUGUACUGACGCUCAUGCACGAAAGCGUGGGGAGCAAACAGGAUUAGAUACCCUGGUAGUCCACGCCCUAAACGAUGUCAACUGGUUGUUGGGUCUUAACUGACUCAGUAACGAAGCUAACGCGUGAAGUUGACCGCCUGGGGAGUACGGCCGCAAGGUUGAAACUCAAGGAAUUGACGGGGACCCGCACAAGCGGUGGAUGAUGUGGUUUAAUUCGAUGCAACGCGAAAA
rnacentral:rRNA from 1 species